ensembl:lncRNA
GGAGCGAGGAGCGAUAGAGAAACGAGAGAGAGAGAAGGGGAGAGCGCGCGCGCGCGCGCGCCUCCCCCGCCCUCCUCGGCCGGGCUCGCUCCCGCACAAGUCCGCGCGUGCGUGUCCGGGGACAGCGAAUUGGCGAGCUCGCCUGCGCCCCAGGAUCCGGCCUUGCUCUAGCUGGGUUUCCACCCUCACCCCGCGACAGAGAGGAAGAGCAAGGCGACGAGCAGGCUGGGGAGGCGUGGGGCGUCACCUGGCACAGGAGGAGAUCCAGCUGCGACUACAGGGAGAGACUUCCUCCCUUUUCCCUCCCACUUGUUUCUUUAGGUCCUGCUGCUUUCACUUCCACGUUGUGCCAGCAGCCCCCUCCCUUGCGCUUCCCCACCCCAGGCAUCUUGGCAUUGAGAAAAGCAGAGGGCAUCUCAUAUUUUCCUGCCAGGUUGCAGGGAGAGCUCUUCACAUCGUUUAGCCACCUUCAGGCUUGCCCCAGGAGGUGGGCGUUGGUAGGGGCAGGGAGAAGGAGGGACAAUGAAAGACUGGAAAAUAAUGAAGGUAGAUUCUGCCCUCCCCAGUGGUGAGGCGUUGUGCAUUGCACAAUAGCAAGUCUGAUGAUACAGCUUCCUAACCAACAACGAAAUAGGCUCUUCUUGUAGAAGCAGGGUCAGUCAACAAGCAUUUAUUAAGCACUUACUAAACUAUAGGGAUGCACACUGACGCAGCAAGCUGGGAUGCAGGUUAGGUUUCCACUGCAGUUAAUGCUUGUUUUGUCAAACAAACAAGUUAAAUUUAGAUUUGAGUCCCAGCUCUGCUACUGUCAACCUCUGAGUCAGUUUCUCUAUCUUCGGGAUUUAAUAUAAUUUAAUGUAAUGAUGGGCAGCUAGGUGGCGCACUGGAGUCAGAGCUAGGAACCCAGGACUUGGGUGGGUCAGGAGAAUCUGAGUUCAAAUCCAUUAUCAAACAUGGGCAGGUCACUUAACCUUUCAGAGUCUCAAUUCCAUCUUCUGUAAAAUGGGGUGAUAAUAGCACCUAAGUCACAGUUGCUGUGAAGAUUAAGCAAAGUGCUUUGUACACUUAAAAGUGUUAUAUAACUACUACAUUAUUAUUAAUAUAAUAAUAUUAAUCUCUGAUAUCUUUUCUAGUUCUAAAUCCCAUGACUUUCUUCUAGCCAACCCUUAAACUGAAGAUCUCUUAAUUACCAAACCCAGUGGCAUUUUUUAGUCCUCAUAAUUCUGCUUCAUUUCGUGCUGCUGAUGGACUUCUCCUUCCUAUGUUUUUGUGACACUGCUGCCUCUUGAUUCUCCUCCUACUUUUCUGGACUUUCCUUCUCAGGUUCCUUUGUUGGGUCAUCAUCCUCUCCCUGGUCACUAAUCCUGAGGGUUUCUUUUCACUACCUUUCCCUCUCCCAUCCCAACCCAGUCUCUGUUCUUGGCCCUCAUAUACAUACUCAGGAGUGUAUACACACACACACACACACACACACACACACACACACACACACUCUUACACUUUUAGUGAGUAUACACUCUCAAGAAUCCCAUUAGCUCAUAUGGAUACACGUGCAUGUAGAUCUAGUCUAUAUUGAGAUAAAAUCCCACAUCAUCAACUGCCACUGGAUGUCCUCUUUGCAUCUUUUUUUUUUUAAAGGCAAUUGGGAUUAAGUGACUUGCCUAGGGUUACACAGCUAGUAAGUGUCUAGUGUUUGGUCUGAGGCUGGAUUUGAACUCAGGUCCUCCUGACUUCAGGGCUGGUGCUCUGUCACUGUGCCACCUAGCUGCCCCUAUGCAUCUCAAAUUCAACAUAUCUUUCCCCCCAAACCUACCCAUCUUCCUGAUUCCCAUAUGUAUGUCAAAGGCACCAUUAUCCUUCCAGUAACCCAGGUUCCCAACUUCAGAAUCUUCUCUGACUCCUUGCUCUUCAUCACUCUUCAUAUACAAUCAGUUGUCAAGUUUUAGCAAUCCUACCUCCAUGACAUCUCUAACACCCAUCCUCUUCUUUCUACUCACAUGGCCACCACCCUAGUUUAGGUCCUUAUCACUUCUCACCAAGCCUAUUUUAAUAACCUUCUAAUUGGGCUUCUUGUCUCCAGUCUCUUUCCUCUCCAAUCCAUCUGCCACACAACUGCCAAAGUGAUAUUCCUCAAGCGCAGAUCUGACCAUGAAAGUCUUCUACUCAAGAAACUCUGAUGGCUCACUCUUGCCAUUACAAUAACAUUGAAGCUCUUCUGUUUGACUUUUCAAGGUCUCCACAACUGUUCAGGUUUAUUAUACAAUAAUUCUUUGUUCAUUCAUUUUACAUUCCAGCCAAACUGGCUUAUUUACCGUUCUCUGCAUGUGAGAACCUAGGACAGAGUCCUCUCUCCUCCCCUUCCAUGUGUGGAAUGCAUUCCCUCCUCACCUCUUUCUCCUAAAUCUAUAACAUUCAGCUCAAGUAGUGUUUCCCCCAUGGGGUCUUUUCUGAUUCCCCUAGAAGAUAGUGUCAUUCCCUCCAAUAAACAUUGUAUUUGUAAAGCCUACA